rnacentral:rRNA from 1 species
GAUGAACGCUGGCGGCGUGCCUAAUACAUGCAAGUCGAGCGAACAGAUAAGGAGCUUGCUCCUUUGACGUUAGCGGCGGACGGGUGAGUAACACGUGGGUAACCUACCUAUAAGACUGGGAUAACUUCGGGAAACCGGAGCUAAUACCGGAUAACAUUUGGAACCGCAUGGUUCUAAAGUGAAAGAUGGUUUUGCUAUCACUUAUAGAUGGGCCCGCGCCGUAUUAGCUAGUUGGUAAGGUAACGGCUUACCAAGGCGACGAUACGUAGCCGACCUGAGAGGGUGAGCGGCCACACUGGAACUGAGCCCGGGUCCAGACUCCGCCGGGGGGAGGCAGAGGGGAGUCUCCCGAAAGGGGCGAAGCCCGGACGGAGAAACGCGGCGUGAGGUAAAAGGGUUUUCGGUUCGAAAAACUUUUUUAUUAGGAAAAAAAAAAGUUGUAAGUAACUGUGCACGUCUUGACGGUACCUAAUCAAAAACCCACGGCUAACUACGUC